UACGUAGGGUGCGAGCGUUGUCCGGAAUUAUUGGGCGUAAAGAGCUUGUAGGCGGUCUGUCGCGUCUGCUGUGAAAAUCCGGGGCUCAACCCCGGACUUGCAGUGGGUACGGGCAGACUAGAGUGUGGUAGGGGAGACUGGAAUUCCUGGUGUAGCGGUGAAAUGCGCAGAUAUCAGGAGGAACACCGGUGGCGAAAGCGGGUCUCUGGGCCGAUACUGACGCUGAGGAGCGAAAGCAUGGGUAGCGAACAGG
rnacentral:rRNA from 1 species